rnacentral:rRNA from 1 species
AGAGUUUGAUCCUGGCUCAGGACGAACGCUGGCGGCAUGCUUAACACAUGCAAGUCGAACGAGAAAGCUUCUUCGGAAGUGAUUAAAGUGGCGCACGGGUGAGUAACGCGUAGAUAAUCUGCCCUUCAGUCCGGGACAACUUUCCGAAAGGGGAGCUAAUACCGGAUAACAAUGUUUAACAUAAGUUUAAUAUUUGAAAGCUCCGGUGCUGAUGGAUGAGUCUGCGUCCCAUUAGCUUGUUGGUGCGGUAGUGGCGCACCAAGGCCGCGAUGGGUAGCGGGUUUGAGAGGACGAUCCGCCACACUGGAACUGAGACACGGUCCAGACUCCUACGGGAGGCAGCAGUGGGGAAUAUUGCACAAUGGAGGAAACUCUGAUGCAGCAAUGUCGCGUGAGUGAAGAAGGCCCUUGGGUCGUAAAGCUCUUUUAUGGGGGAAGAUGAUGACGGUACCCCAAGAAUAAGCACCGGCUAACUACGUGCCAGCAGCCGCGGUAAUACGUAGGGUGCGAGCGUUGUUCGGAAUUACUGGGCGUAAAGGGCGCGCAGGCGGAGGUGUAAGUCGGAGGUGAAAGCCCGGGGCUCAACCCCGGAGGGUCUUUCGAAACUGCAUCUCUAGAGAGGGUCAGGGGCCGGCAGAAUUCCUGGUGUAGAGGUGAAAUUCGUAGAUAUCAGGAGGAAUACCGGUGGCGAAAGCGGCCGGCUGGGGCCACUCUGACGCUGAGGCGCGAAAGCGUGGGGA